UUCUCCACAGAGGGCUGGUCACCUCCUCCCCAUGCUGUACUGCCCAGUGCAGUAGUCGGGAGCUGACCUUGUUCGUGAAGACAGAGGCAAAAAAAGCAUUGAGUACAUUAGCUUUUUUCACAUCCUGUGUCACUAGGUUUCCUCCCUUAUUCAAUAGGGGGCCCAAACUUCCAUUGACUUGCUUCUUGUUGCUAACAUAUUUCUAUUGUCCCAUGGAUAAUGUGAGUGUGUCCUUCCUUUCAGGAACCAGGGAGCAUCACAUUUAUACCAUUCCUCCUAUUGCAAAGUUAUUGUUGGAGUCACCCAUGAUACAGAUUGUAUCGUCAUUGCCAGUUCUCAUGUUGCUCUGGGUUUUGCUGAAGAGCAGCUAUACUGGGAACUUUUCAAAUUAGAUGUAAAUAAAGAGGAGAUGGAGCAGGAAAGUAAGUAUCAUUUCAGCCUCUGUGACAUUGGAAGGAGAUGGGGUGACUCAGAGAUUCCCUCCUUCCCCAUCACUGCAGAACUGUUACCUUUUCUCUGAGUCAUGUAGAGUUUAUCUUCAUCACAUUCUAUCCCUCCACUUCUCAAAGUUUCUUGUGAUGAAGCAUUCUCCGUUGUCUGUGCUUGGAGAUGCUUUGACUUCUUUAAUCCUGUAUCGGAGUUGCUAUGACUGGAGAUGAAAGUGUCAAAGACCUGGGAGGGGAAUUCAAAUGGAUCCCAAACACAGUGUGAUCAUUCGGAGUUUAAAUCCCAGGUUCCAUCUCUUGGUAAAGCCACUUCCGGCAAGGUGGCUGUUUUUUCCCCCAUUAUGUGGGUGCUAGAAUACUAAAAAUCUUGUAAAUAACAUAACUGACUAUUGAGACAGUGCUAAGUGAAGUAUGUUUGAAUGGAUCAGAGGAUAAUGUGAUGGGAGAAUCUCUUGUCCUGAUUCUGAAUAAUCAGAUGUAACCUGCUCUGGAAUUUCACUUGACACUUUCAUUGUCAUUACUUCUCACUUCAUCGGAUCUCUCUGUGAUGUGGCUUUCUAUCUUUCCUGAAGGCUGUUUGGUCACCCAGUUGGAUAUUAGUUCUGUUUGGUAGGAUGUAACUCAGAUUUAUUGGAGAAUUUAAGACCAAUGAUCAUUUGCUAAAGUCAUGAUUUCUCACUUCAGCUUUGCUUUUUCCCCAUCCCUCCAUGAUGACAUGGAGACAGUUCAAGUGCAGUUCUGUCAACAGGAGAGAACUCUCCAGUUUACUGGACAUGCUAAAAAAGAAACAGCCGUGAUUUAAAAUCUCCACUCGGAAAUGGUGAACAACAGCAGAACCCGAAUUAACUGAAGGAAGUGCAUAUGGUCACAGUCUAGUUCAACUGUUGAAGUCAAUAUUGUC